ACACUCCUGCGGGAGGCAACAGUGGGGAAUAUUGGACAAUGGGCGCAAGCCUGAUCCAGCCAUGCCGCGUGAGUGAUGAAGGCCCUAGGGUUGUAAAGCUCUUUCACCGGUGAAGAUAAUGACGGUAACCGGAGAAGAAGCCCCGGCUAACUUCGUGCCAGCAGCCGCGGUAAUACGAAGGGGGCUAGCGUUGUUCGGAUUUACUGGGCGUAAAGCGCACGUAGGCGGACUAUUAAGUCAGGGGUGAAAUCCCGGGGCUCAACCCCGGAACUGCCUUUGAUACUGGUAGUCUUGAGUUCGAGAGAGGUGAGUGGAAUUCCGAGUGUAGAGGUGAAAUUCGUAGAUAUUCGGAGGAACACCAGUGGCGAAGGCGGCUCACUGGCUCGAUACUGACGCUGAGGUGCGAAAGCGUGGGGAGCAAACAGGAUUAGAAACCCCGGUAGUCCCAUGAU
rnacentral:rRNA from 1 species